AAAAUCCAUUUUAACUGUCAUAUUUAACUACGACAUCCGACUCCGACGCUAGUUAGCGUCGGUCAAGCAGACGCUAGAGUGCCAAUUUUUUUUUUUUUUUAAUUUCAUUAAUAAUUAACUUUGGUGCAGAUAUCCCACAACACUCUCACAUUCACUCUGUAUCCCUCAAGUUUUUCAGAUAACCCUAACUCUUGAAUCCGUCCCCCAUUCUCAACCCUCUCGAUGUCGUCACCCACUCCGUAUUCGUGUCAGAGCCUAUUGCCGCCACAUCACUGUUUCCAUCACCUCACUCACUCUCGUGCAUGUCACCCACUUCGAACCCUAGCUCUCGAACCCGUCACCCACUCUGAACCCUCUCAAACCCGUCACCAACUUCGUCCUCACCGUCAAGCUCAGCCUCUCGCUGCCGCAUCACCUAUUCCCUCACCUCAUUCACUCUCGCAGCCUCACCGUUUCCACUACAAAAAAAUUGAAGAUUGCAGCACAUAGCUUGCGACUCGAGAAGGAGAAACCCGAAGAGCUCUUGAAAGCCAAAGACGAGAUCUUGAAACAAAAGGAUGAAGAACUUGAAAAUUAUGGCAAGGAGCAAGAGAAACUUUAGAUUGAGUUUAAGAAAUUACAUAAAUUGAAGGAUAAUUCCACAAGCACUAUUUGUUUGAAGCGCUCUGAUUUUCAGCCUUAAGACAAUUAUGGCUUCUUGUUUCUGGUUGUAGUGGCAACUUCAUAUCUAUUAUCAGUUGGUGGAUCAUCUAUUGUGAGUCAUCCUCCUUCGCAUCCUCGUUACGAUGAUGGUUUCGACGAUCUGUCGUUGGACGCCCCUUGAUCUCAUAGUUAUGCUUACUUUUUGUAGUCAUUGGUUGACAAUUAUGUAUUAAGUAACUUUGUUAAGUUGUUUUUUGAUACUAUGUUAUUAUUUUGUAGUUUUAGAACAAAUGAUAUUUUGUUAAGUUGUUAUUUAA